GACGAACGCUGGCGGCGUGGAUUAGGCAUGCAAGUCGGACGGUAGAGCUUUAUCGUAAGAUAGAGUUUGAGAGUGGCGAACGGGUGAGUAACACGUAGGAAUCUACCCUUAAGACGGGGACAACCCAGGGAAACUUGGGCUAAUACCGGAUGAGAGUGCGAGAGAUUGCAUUUAAAAGGAUGGCGAAAGUUGUCGCUUAGGGAUGAGCCUGCGGUCUAUUAGUUAGUUGGUGAGGUAAGAGCUCACCAAGGCGAUGAUAGAUAGGCGGCCUUAACGGGUGGUCGCCCACACUGGGAUUGAGAUACGGCCCAGACUCCUACGGGAGGCAGCAGUCGAGAAUAGUCUACAAUGGCCGGAAGGCUGAUAGUGCGACGCCGCGUGAACGAGGGAGCCCUUCGGGGUGUAAAGUUCUUUCAGCAGGGAAGAAGCGAAAGUGACGGUACCUGCAGAAGAAGCACCGGCUAACUACGUG
rnacentral:rRNA from 1 species